GGUGGUCAGGUAGAGAAUACCAAGGCGCUUGAGAGAACUCGGGUGAAGGAACUAGGCAAAAUGGUGCCGUAACUUCGGGAGAAGGCACGCUGAUAUGUAGGUGAAGCGACUUGCUCGUGGAGCUGAAAUCAGUCGAAGAUACCAGCUGGCUGCAACUGUUUAUUAAAAACACAGCACUGUGCAAACACGAAAGUGGACGUAUACGGUGUGACGCCUGCCCGGUGCCGGAAG
rnacentral:rRNA from 1 species